rnacentral:rRNA from 1 species
GACGUAGGGCGCGAGCGUUGUCCGGAUUUAUUGGGCGUAAAGAGCUCGUAGGCGGCUUGUCGCGUCGUCCGUGAAAACUUGGGGCUCAACCCCAAGCUUGCGGUCGAUACGGGCAUGACUGGAGUUCGGCAGGGGAGACUGGAAUUCCUGGUGUAGCGGUGAAAUGCGCAGAUAUCAGGAGGAACACCGGUGACGAAGGCGGGUCUCUGGGCCGAUACUGACGCUGAGGAGCGAAAGCGUGGGGAGCGAACAGG